rnacentral:rRNA from 1 species
AUUGAACGCUGGCGGCAGGCCUAACACAUGCAAGUCGAACGAGUGGCGGAAGGGUGAGUAAUGUCUGGGAAACUGCCCGAUGGAGGGGGAUAACUACUGGAAACGGUAGCUAAUACCGCAUACCAUCGGAUGUGCCAAGAUGGGAUUAGCUAUGGGGUGGGGUAACGGCUCACCUCGGUGAAGCUCCCUAGCUGGGCUGAGAGGAUGACCAGCCACACUGGAACUGAUACACGUUCCAGCCUCCGACGGGAUGCAGCAGUGGGGAAUAUUGCACAAUGGGCGCAAGCCUGAUGCAGCCAUGCCGCGUGUAUGAAGAAGGCCUUCGGGUUUUAAAGUACUUUCAUCGAGGAGGCGUUACUCUCAGAAGAAGCACCGGCUAACUCCGUGCCAGCAGCCGCGGUAAUAC